GACGAACGCUGGCGGAGGGAGGAAGAAAGGAAAGUCGAAAGGAAAGGCCCCUUUGGGGGUAAGAGAGGGGCGAACGGGUGAGUAACAAGUGAGGAACCUGCCCGUGACUUCGGGAUAACUUCAGGAAACGGGGGCUAAUACCGGAUAGGAAGCCUUGCUGCAUGGGGGGGGGUGGAAAGCUUCGGCGGUUUUGGAUGGACUCGCGGCUUAUCAGCUUGUUGGUGGGGUAGUGGCUUACCAAGGCUUUGACGGGGCGCCGGCCGGAGAGGGCGACCGGCCACAUUGGGACUGAGAUACGGCCCAGACUCCUACGGGAGGCAGCAGUGGGGAAUAUUGCACAAUGGGCGGAAGCCUGAUGCAGCAACGCCGCGUGCGCGAUUCCUCCCUUCGGGUUGUAAACCGCUUUCCGCAUGGGCGCCGCUUGUGGUGACGGUACCUGCAGAAGAAGCACCGGCUCCCUACGUC
rnacentral:rRNA from 1 species